UACGAAGGGGGCUAGCGUUGCUCGGAAUGACUGGGCGUAAAGGGCGCGUAGGCGGCUUGCAUAGUCGGAUGUGAAAUUCCUGGGCUUAACCUGUGGGCUGCAUACGAGACGUAUGGGCUUGAGUGCGGAAGAGGGUCGUGGAAUUCCCAGUGUAGAGGUGAAAUUCGUAGAUAUUGGGAAGAACACCGGUGGCGAAGGCGGCGACCUGGUCCGUGACUGACGCUGAGGCGCGAAAGCGUGGGGAGCAAACAGG
rnacentral:rRNA from 1 species